GCGGGUGUAGCUAAGUGGUAGAGUUUCCCUACCAUCCAGUAAGGCCUUGGGUUCAAUUCCCAAUGCUCGUC
rnacentral:tRNA from 1 species